rnacentral:misc_RNA from 1 species
CCGAGUUGCAAAACUCCCAAACCAUUGUGAACCUUACCUAUCGUUGCUUCGGCGGACCCGCCCCGGCGCUCUCGCGACCGGAACCAGGCGCCCGCCGGGGGAAAACCAAAACCCUUUGAAACCCUGUGGAUCAUCUGAGUGGCGAAAGCACAAAUACAAUCA